ACGACGUCAACUUCUAUGUGGCACCAAAAUGAGGAGAGCCGGUGAAUGACUUCAGAUCCCAAGGUUCCAACAAGAAAUAACCUGAAUGACUCACCGGUCACCAGCAUGUCUUCAGGAAUUUCCUCAAUGAUACAUUUUUCCUUCUGCUGUCCAAUAUCAAAGUACAUGGCUGCUGCCGACAUCAGCAACACAAGGCUCCAAACCUGGUGCAGCCAGGUGGUGCGUCGGUACAAGUUGAGGAUGUGGCACAGCGUGGAGUCUGCUGUCUCCUCCACUGAGGCUGCUGGCAUAUUACAUACAGCUAUGCCUGUUGGACCAGAGAGCAGAUAAGGAUUAGGAACAGCUUUUUGGGCCAUUAAAGGAGUUUUCUCCUCAAACACCACUGGAAGCUUUCAAAUGGCAGAGAAUCUUGGUGAAAGAAGAUAUUAAUAGAGCGCUGGCUGAUGUAGAAAAGACAUGAGUAAAAAAUUCAAAAUACAUAAAUGCUUGACUGACUUUUAAACAUGGCAGUGAUCAGUGGAAGCAAAGAAAAUGUAGGUUUUUUUGAAAAUAAUCACUUUAUGUCUGUAACAAUUUAAGAGUUUAACAGUAAAGCCAACAUAUUAAACAGUAAAAAUGCUUCAUUCAUCAAACCAGGAAAACUACAAUAAAACAAUUAAGAGCACAUAAAAAUAAAACCAAAACAAGCAUACAGAUGUAGUUACAAUUAAAGAAAAGGCUAGCUGAGACUGGCUGUUUUUUCAGUAGCUAAAUUAGUGAGUGAGUAUGUUACACUUAUGACAAAUUAUAUUUAUAUGAAGCUGUUAUUGUUAUCUUAAAAGUUAAAAUAUAAGCCAUAUUGGUCGUUAACUGAUGAUAUGUCUUUAAAUGUGACAGUUUCAUUUAGGAAAUAAGAAAAGCAACCUUUUGUUUUGAACUACUUGGAACAAUUCUCUGUAUUAGCGUAGGAAUGUGAUAUCUCAGGAAUUUCUUCAAAAUUUGGCCCUAAUAUCCAUUCAAGCAUGACUUGAUUAGACUAUGGUGGUCAUAGGUCAAAGUGACAGUGACCUCGCAUCUGCACCAUUCCUGUGAAUUAUAAUGGCUGGCUGAGGCAUACGUGAAGCAGUAAUUCUAGUUUUCUUUUGAAUCCAUCGGACACACAGUAAACAAUCCCUAAUAACUACCUUUUAUCUGUUCUGGUGAAAUGAACAAGGGUCAUUUGACAACAGCAUUAAACCUUGUUCAACACUGGCAGCAACAGAAUGCAGCAAGUUAUUAAAUAUGUGGAAAAGCAUGUUUGUAGUAGAUGUAGUAGAUUACUACUCUACUUUGUAAACUGAAAGCUGGAUUUGUACUGUUCACCUCACAAUUGUUGCUUCAGUAGAUUAAUUGUUUGCCAGUGAUGAACUUAUUUUUAAUGCCUUCAACGCUUACAGGAUUAUAAGGAUAUGGACAUUGUAACAGUGAAGUAUGAUGUUACUUGUACACACUUUUUCGUCCUGUGUGUGCGUGUG